rnacentral:sRNA from 1 species
ACUUUCUCUGCCCGGCCCUGAACGCUCGCCGCCCCUGCCCAGCCGCCCACUGUCUGGCAGCCUGCAAGUCUCCAUUCAGAAGCGGCUCCGUGCUGCCCAGCGCUGGCGCCCUGGCGGCGCGGAAGCCCGCGGCCAAAUGACUCGACGGGGGCAAAGGAGGACAACAGUUCCCACCAGAAAUGAGCCCCUGAGUCCUGAGUUGGUGGCAGCUGCAUCUGCUGCUGUGUUUUGACAAGCAAACAAGCCAGAACUGCUCAGGCAGCUCCGUAGCAUGAGGAAGAGUCAGGGGCACAGAGAGAUGGAGAGAGACCUAAUUAGACACAUCACCUUCGCUUUGGGGUAUGGAAUUUGAUAAGCAGUUAGCCACAGAAUAUGAACAACCCCUUUAGAAUGAGAUUGAAGAACUGAUCCAGGGGACAAAAGAGGGGAAACUGAGAGUUCCCAAUUAAUAAUGAAGCAGCUUCAUGUCUAAGAUCUCUGGUGGACUUUUUCUGCCCGUGGACGCCACUGAAGAAGCAUCGUUAAAGUCUCCCUUCACCCUGCUGUCAUGUCUAAG